rnacentral:rRNA from 1 species
GCGCGAAAACUUUACAAUGCGGGAAACCGUGAUAGGGGAACUCCGAGUGCCCGUUAAAUCGGGCUGUCCAUUGGUUUAAAUAACCAGUGAAGAAAGGGCCGGGCAAGACCGGUGCCAGCCGCCGCGGUAAUACCGGCGGCUCGAGUGGUGGCCACUAUUACUGGGCUUAAAGCGUUCGUAGCUGGUUUGUUAAGUCUCUGGGGAAAUCUUCCGGCUUAACCGGAAGGCGUCUCAGGGAUACUGGCAGACUAGGGACCGGGAGAGGUGAGGGGUACUCCAGGGGUAGGAGUGAAAUCCUGUAAUCCUUGGGGGACCACCUGUGGCGAAGGCGCCUCACCAGAACGGCUCCGACAGUGAGGGACGAAAGCUGGGGGAGCAAACC